UCGAGCGGUAACACAAAGGGAGCUUGCUCCUGAGGUGACGAGCGGCGGACGGGUGAGUAAUGCCUAGGGAUCUGCCCAGUCGAGGGGGAUAACAGUUGGAAACGACUGCUAAUACCGCAUACGCCCUACGGGGGAAAGGAGGGGACCUUCGGGCCUUCCGCGAUUGGAUGAACCUAGGUGGGAUUAGCUAGUUGGUGAGGUAAUGGCUCACCAAGGCGACGAUCCCUAGCUGGUCUGAGAGGAUGAUCAGCCACACUGGGACUGAGACACGGUCCAGACUCCUACGGGAGGCAGCAGUGGGGAAUAUUGCACAAUGGGGGAAACCCUGAUGCAGCCAUGCCGCGUGUGUGAAGAAGGCCUUCGGGUUGUAAAGCACUUUCAGCGAGGAGGAAAGGUUAAGUCUUAAUACGGUUUAGCUGUGACGUUACUCACAGAAGAAGGACCGGCUAACUUCGUGCCAGCAGCCGCGGUAAUACGAGGGGUGCAAGCGUUAAUCGGAAUUACUGGGCGUAAAGCGUACGCAGGCGGUUCGUUAAGCCAGAUGUGAAAGCCCCGGGCUCAACCUGGGAAUUGCAUUUUGAACUGGCGAACUAGAGUCUUGUAGAGGGGGGUAGAAUUUCAGGUGUAGCGGUGAAAUGCGUAGAGAUCUGAAGGA
rnacentral:rRNA from 1 species